rnacentral:tRNA from 2 species
GCCCCGGUAGCUUAGUGGUAAAAGCGUUAUAUUGAAGCUAUAGAAAUGGGAGUUCAAUUCUCUCCCGGGGCA